UCGAAAUGUAAAUAAGAAAUACUCAAGUUAAUAAAGAAAAAAAGAUGACAAAAAAAGAAUAUUUGAAAUUAAAAAAAAAAUAACCAGAAGCUGGAAAGAAACCAGAUGUCCUUUAACAGAAGAAUGGAUACAGAAAAUGUGGUAUAUUUACACAAUGGAGUACUACUCAGCUAUUAACAAUGACCUCAUGAAAUUCAUAGGCAAAUGGAUGGAACUAGAAAAUAUUCUGAGUGAGGUAACCUAAUCACAAAAACGCACAUUAUGCACUCAGUGAUAAAUGGAUAUUAGCCCAAAAGUUCAUAAUACCCAAGAUAUAAUUUACAGAGCACAUGAAACUCAUUAUGCACUACCUUCAGUCCUUCUUAGAAUGGGAACAAAAAUAUUCAUAGGAGGAAAUACAGAGACAAACAUUGGAGCAGAGACCGAAGGAAAGGCCAUCCAGAUAUUGUCUUACCUGGGGAUCCAUUCCGUAUGCAGCCAAUAAACCAAGACAAAAUUCUUGAUGCCAAGAAGUGCAUGCUGACAAGAGUCUGAUAUAGCUGCCUCCUGAGAGGCUCUGCCAGAGCCUGACAAAUACAGAGACGAAUGCUGGCUGUCAACCAUUGAACUGAGAAUGGGGUCCCGGUUGGAGAAAUUAGAGAAAGGAUUGAAGGAAUUGUAGGUAUUUGCAACCUCGUAAGAACACCAAUAUCCAAGAACCAGAGCACCCAGGAACUAAACCGCCAUCCAAAGAGUACACGUGGACAGACCCAUGGCUCCAGCUGUAAAUGUAGCAUUGGCCUUGUUAGGCACCAAUGGGAGGAGAAGACUUUGGUCCUGCAGAGGCUGUACAGCCCCCAGUUUAGGGGCAUGUCAGGGGGGCGAGCCUAGAAAGGUUGGAUGGUGAAACAAAUUCAUAAAAGACGGGUGAGGGGAGGAGUAAAGGGGUUUAUGGAUGGGAAACUGGGAAAGGGGAUAACAUUUGAAAUGUAAAUUAAAAAAAGAAAAUAUGACUUAACAUUUCCAAUUAUGUGUCACUUUGUAAAAUAAUAACAUUAUAUACCCAAACAUACAAUACUUAUUCUUUUGAAGUAAAAACUUAGGACAUGUAUGACACUAUUCAUUAAGUAACAGGCGAAGCAUAAAAACGAAAUAUGAAAAUCGCAAAUGUUGAACUAAGCUUUUCAUAUUUCAAAGACAUCACAAAAUUCUAUCUUACUGAAAAUAAAAUACUUGGGGUUGUCUGACCUGAUUUGCUGAUUCAAGAGCCUUUCCCGUCAAACCAAUUUUAUUUCUUAAAAGUGCAUUUACGUUCCAAGUCAAUUACUAGCUGAAAAUGUUUUAAAUGUUGAAUGUUAUCCCAUCUCCAGUGAAACUGUCACCUCGCCAAGGGUUGUUGGCUUAGUUAGGGAAAAACAAUUCCAACUACCAAGAAUAGUUUUCUUCUUUAAAAGCUUAAAGCUAUUCUGAAUCUCGGUAUUUUUUAUGUAUUUCUAUAGAAUUGCCACUACAAAUUAAUCAUUUCCUAUACAAAUAAAAAUUGAUGUCACAAGCAGAAAGAGCUUUUCAAGAUGUGCCAGCGAGUUUUAUGGACUUAUAUAUAUCCUUCAAGACUAAUAGAAAAUGUUAUAUACCAAGUUGGUUGUUUUGUUCAAGUUUCACAUUGUUUCAAAGGAAACAGUUCUCUUACUAUCCAAGUAUUAAAUGUGAAAAUACUUUCUCUAUCAAUUUUAUGAGCUUUCCAACCAUCUUGACACACGGUGAUCUGAAGAAUAAGCACCAAAAUUACCAAAGGUAUAUUGGAAGAUGCGAAAAGGUACCAUACAUUACAGGCCAUUGUCUGCAUUAUUGUGAGAUUUUUAAAAUAGAGAAAUAAAACAUCAGAGGAAAUGUC